CCCGCCUGGGACCGGCCGUUCCGGAGCACCAUCCCCGCGGGAGGGAGGGACGGAAGCGGAGGAGGAAGCCGAGCUGUUGAGUCAUUGCCGAGCUGCCUGAGAGCAGAGAGGAAAGCCAGGCCGCCUGCAAGGGACGGGUUUGCUGAGCGCACGGGAAAAUGGUUUGAGUAAUAAUCAACGCCUGCCGCUAUGUGGCCAGGAAGAUGAGGAUCCUGUGGAGCCGGGAGCCCCGGGAGCCCCGGGAGCCACCGCCCUGCCCGGCGCAGGCAGCGCCGCAAAGCAACGGCCAGGAUGUAAACCCAGAGCUACCAGCACCCCCCGAAGCAUCAGCCUCACUCCCCAGCAACAUCAAACCCAGCCAGUGCAGGUCCUGACGAUAAAAGCCCUCGUGCUCCUCCCACGAAGGCCACGAGGUUUCCUCCCAGUGAUUUUUGCUGGAAAUCCUGCAGCCCAGGGAUUGGAAAUAUCAGCAAACCCCUGCAGCAUCUGCUCUCGGCACAGAAGCACAUUGAUAGAAAAUACCCUGAUCAGUGUCUCAUGACCAGAAUUUUCUAGUUGGCAGGGAAAAAAAAGAAGAUUCCCAAUGUGUAUCAGAUGCUCCUGCCACCCGUGGGCCAUGGAAUGCCAGGGGAAGGGCAGGAGCCAUUGCAUCCUAGCAGGGAAUUAGAUUUUUAUGCUGUGAAACCAAAUUAUGCUCCCAGUGACAUUGGUACAAAUUCAGACAAUUUCCACGAGGGCAAAAUCAGUUCCUGAGCUGGAAUUUUGGAGCUCAGGUGUGUGGGAAUCCCUUUCCCCGUGCCCAGCCAGCAGCCAGGUGAUGUGCAGAGCUGCAGGGACCCCGGCAGGAUGUGCCCCCAACCCUCUCCUGUCACAGAGCAAUGACAGCAGAACCCCAAACCCCACAAGUGUGGGGGGGAUUCUGCCCGACCCCCUCCUGUGACAGCUCAGCCUGAAGUAAAGGUGGAUGAAAAUCA